UCACACUGCAAGAUUGUAAAGAAAGCCUAGCUUCUUAAGUAUGCAGCUUCCAAUUGUUUCUACUUUGUUAAUACAGAACACUAUUUUCUAGAAUGUCAUUGUAUGCUGACCAUAAAGAUUUCCCCUUUACUGGAACAAACUUUGAAGACAGAUCAUAACUACCCUACUAAUUCUUACAGUUCCCAAUAUGCAGUUGGGAAAGGAAGCAUUUUCUUGACAUUUACUAAACCAAGUGUCU